rnacentral:tRNA from 1 species
UCCGGGAUCGUCUAGCGGGAGGACGCUGGGCUCUGAACCCAGAAACGCAGGUUCGAAUCCUGCGCCCGGAG